UGGGGAAUAUUGGACAAUGAGCGCAAGCCUGAUCCAGCAAUGCCGCGUGAGUGAGGAAGGCCUUAGGGUUGUAAAGCUCUUUCGCGCGCGACGAUGAUGACGGUAGCGCGAGAAGAAGCCCCGGCUCACUUCGUGCCAGCAGCCGCGGUAAUACGGAGGGGGCGAGCGUUGUUCGGAUUUACUGGGCGUAAAGGGCGCGCAGGCGGCCACUCAAGUCAGGCGUGAAAGCCCCGGGCUCAACCUGGGAGGUGCGCUUGGGACUGGGUGGCUAGAGAUCGGGAGAGGAGAGUGGAAUUCCCAGUGUAGAGGUGAAAUUCGUAGAUAUUGGGAAGAACACCGGUGGCGAAGGCGGCUCUCUGGACCGAGACUGACGCUGAGGCGCGAAAGCGUGGGGAGCAAAC
rnacentral:rRNA from 1 species